rnacentral:lncRNA from 1 species
AUUUUUGGACCCAACCCAUUCUUGUAAGGUUCCAUAUUUUCUUGUAUUUCUCUCCUACACUCCCUGAUUAGGCCCUCCAACACCUACAAAUGUAGUUUGGACCACUCUUUAAUUAUUUCAAUCUCUAGGUUCUUUGCUGUGUAGUUAUAUGAAGGCCUAAGCCUUGAAGCCUAAGACAAACAAGAGUCAACAAGGCAAGCAUGUCUAGGAGGAGCUUGAAGGAGCUUUCUGGCUACAAAAAGAGGUGUCUGGCUAUGGCAAAGGAGCAGAAGUCAAGAUUUUACAUACUGUGGAGAUGUGCCAUUAUGCUGGCAUAAAUAUGAGGAUUCUUAGGUUUUCUGGUUUUCCCAUUUUUUUUGUUUUCAAAGUUUCCCGAUAAAUUAGGCUUAGAUUGUCCUUAUUUUUGAAGUUAUGAAACAAAAGGUAUCAAGUAUGAAUUGCUUUGAUUUCCUUUCGAUUUAUGCCAACUACAAAAUGUUCUAGUGUUGUUAUAUUUGAACUUAUUCUAACAAUAUAUGAUCAUGAC